GGGGAAUUGUUCGCAAUGGGCGCAAGCCUGACGACGCAACGCCGCGUGGGGGAUGAAGGUCUUCGGAUUGUAAACCCCUGUUGGGUGGGACGAACACUUUCGUGGUGAAUAGCCAUGGAGGCUGACGGUACCACCUGAGGAAGCACCGGCUAACUCUGUGCCAGCAGCCGCGGUAAGACAGAGGGUGCAAACGUUGUUCGGAAUUACUGGGCGUAAAGCGCGUGUAGGCGGCUGCGCAAGUCGGGCGUGAAAUCCCACGGCUCAACCGUGGAAGUGCACUCGAAACUGCGUAGCUUGAGUCCUGGAGAGGAAGGUGGAAUGCUUGGUGUAGAGGUGAAAUUCGUAGAUAUCAAGCGGAACACCGGUGGCGAAGGCGACCUUCUGGACAGUGACUGACGCUGAGACGCGAAAGCGUGGGGAGCAAA
rnacentral:rRNA from 1 species